GGCUAAGUGACUUAAGUUCAAUGAAACAAAACAGCAGCUCAGAGGCAGAGUUGGUUGUCCACUAAUCGGAAGGUUGGCGGUUUGAUCCCUGGCUCCUCUUGCUGCAUGUCGAAGUGUCCUUGAGCAAGAUACUGACUCCCUGACAGGUAAAGAGAGACAGGAAAUGGGAGAGAGAAAGAGUACGACACACAGCAAAGGGGGGCGGUUGGAAUUGAACCUGGGCCUCCUCGUCCCUUUUUUUUUAUGGAUUUCCAUUUACCACAGUUAUGAGGAACUGACAUGCUUUUAUACAGACUUUUCUGGGUCAAAUUCGGGCCCGUGGGUGCUGUGGUAACAAAGGAAAUUAGGUGAGUCACAUCUCAAAAUUCCCUUUUUUUAGAAUCAAAUAAAUCGAAACUAUAUGAAAGUGAAAAUAACCAGGAUUCUCUCACUCAGUCUGGUAUAUCAUUCUGUUGUUGAGCUUGUUGGAGUUCAUGUGAAUUAACAAGGAAGUGUUGUCAUUACCGACAGUUUCAGGUCAAGUGCAGUUAGUGAAACAGCCCACAUUUCUCACAAGGCCUAUUGCUGUGUGACUGUUCUGUCCAUACAUAGCAGAUUUACGAUAAAUUAAAACACUUUCCUUAUUCUCCACCUUAUAAUUAACAAUGGCCAAACACAUACUUUUCCUUUUACACUGUUCAUCAGCAGUGUUGGGUAAUAACUGAUUACAUAUAAUCAGGAUUACAUAAACAGAUUACAAAAAAUAAUCAUAAGAAUCAAUUAAUAAUCAACCCAUAUCACACUAGAUUAUAGUUGUUUUCAAGGAUUACCUGAUUACUUUUCACGACAACCAAUGGUCUAACUCAUAAAAAGCACGUCUGAGGCCUCAUCUCUCCUGUACUAGCUACUCUGCAUUGGCUCCCUGUAAAAUGUAGAAUAGAAUUUAAAAUCCUCCUCCUCACCUAUAAAGCUCUUCAUGGUCAGGCCCCUUCAUAUCUUAAAGAGCUCAUAGUACCCUAUUACCCCACUAGAACAUUACGUUCUCUAAAUGCAGGGCUACUUGUGGUUCCUAUAGUCUCUAAAAGUAGAACAGGAGCCAGAGCCUUCAGUUACCAAGCUCCUCUCCUGUGGAACCAGCUUCCAGUUGUGGUUCGGGAGGCAGACACCCUCACCACAUUCAAGAGUAGGCUUAAGACAUUCCUCUUUGAUAAAGUUUAUAGUUAGGGCUGGAUCAGGUGAGUCCUGAACCAUCCCUUAGUUAUGCUGCUAUAGGCCUAGACUAUCGGGGGAUUUCCCAUGGUGCACUGAGCUACUCUCUUCCUCUCUCUUUCUGCACUCAUUCAUGUCCCAUUAAUGCAUGUUACUAACUCCACUUCUUCCCCGGAGUUCUUGUGCUUUCUCGUCUCGCAGGUUCUCAUGGAUCCUGGUGGAGCCUCCUGCCAUGGUCCUGCUUGACUGCCAUUGCCAAUACUGUUGUUGCUGUGCACCUGUCUGUCUGUCUGUCUCUCGCUCUCUCUCUCUCUCUCUCUCUCUCUCUCUCUCUCUCUCUCUCUCUCUCUCU